GGUGGAAUGAUUUUGGUCAGUGACUGUCCAUGUUUGACUCUCUCACUCUAGAGGGAGGAGGAUGAUGACGCUGACGAAGGUGGAACUGAGAUUUACUGUGCAUUUAGACCGAGAGGAGGGUGUUCUGAUUCACUCUGUUCUCUUUAAGCUUCAUCUACAUUAAUAUUUGAGCCUUCGUUUCUCAUUAAUAAUCACAUAUUAAAAGAGAAGGCUUUUCCCCAAAAUGGUUUGAUUCUUCAAACUGGUUUAGUUUGUUUUUCUCAGGCAGUGUUAUCCGUAAUCAUCGAUAACAUUUUUACAGUAAAUUGAUUGACCUAAUUCUCUUUAUAAAAUGUUCCUGAUAAUAAUAAUGCCCCCAUUAAUCUCUAUUGAUCUGUUUUUAUAUCAAAGUUAUGCAAUUAUUUGCCACUUAUGGGUCAUUCUCACAAAGAAAUAUCAGGGUCAUAUUUUACCCCAAAAAUGAAAGGAAAAAAUAUUUUUUAAUUUUAAUGUGAAGGAAAAAAAUUACAGUAUGAUGAAAAUGAUUGUAUAUGGCAUGAUAUAUUUAUUAUUAAUAAAUGCUAAUUUAAUUAAAUACAACAAAUACUACUAUGAUAUACACUACAAACGCACUUUGAAAAUGUGCAAAUGCAUGUGUACAUUUAUAAAUCAUGUAUAUAUUUUUUCAAACAUAAGUCAUGAAAAUUUGGAGAAAUUAGUUGCAAAAGAAAAUCUUAUUGGUCCUAAAAAUGUACUUAUGUUUCUUGUUUGGGUGGUGAAAUAUGAGCCUGGCAUUUCCUGACAGUUUUCAUGAGAUUCUACCUUCUAGUGUUAAGGCCUUCUGAUUGCCGGCCCUGUAAAUACGAGGUCUGCAAUAUUAUAUACUGUUAAGAGACUUUGAGUUUUUUUUUUUUUUUGAGUUUGAUUCUGCCAAAUACACAAGGAGGAGUUAGAGGAAGUUACCUGGUCUUAUGAUUUUGCUCCAGGCGGUAAUAGACAAGGUGCAAAUGAAGACCAGUGUUUUUGUAUAGUAGUAUAGACUUUAAAAGAGGUUUUAAGGGCCCAAAGAGACUCCAGAUGGUUCUAAAGCUAUAAACUGCUCAUUCAUCGCAUUCGGAUGUUUCGUUCCAGGUCAGUGCUGAGACAGUUUCAUGUGUUGGUUGUUCUGGAGCUGAACGUCUGGUAAUGAAACCGAUCGGAGCAACCUCGGCCUGAUGAAAGUAUUGGCCACGGCACAAAGAACAAGAUCAGCUCCUUCAUGCUGUGAAUAAUGAAACAGGAGGAGGAGCUGCCAGAGAUGAUGUCUUCACUUAGAAACAGCGUUUUCCAGGUCAAACUCUCUCAUUUGCUAAAUCACAGACUUUCUCUCUCUCCCACACAUGCCACACACUCUCAAAUCAAACUCAUGAACGAUGUACAGUGUAUUAUUUAAUAAGCACUUUUUAUGAAGACUCCUGUUUCCAGGCUUUUUUUAGCUGAUGAUCUGCAUCUCUUGUAUGAACUGAACACUGUUGUAAUGUAAGAGCAAACAGUACAUAUUAAAACACAUCUGAGAAGU